rnacentral:rRNA from 1 species
GACGAACGCUGGCGGCGUGCUUAACACAUGCAAGUCGAACGGAAAGGCCCUGCUUUUGUGGGGUGCUCGAGUGGCGAACGGGUGAGUAACACGUGAGUAACCUGCCCUUGACUUUGGGAUAACUUCAGGAAACUGGGGCUAAUACCGGAUAGGAGCUCCUGCUGCAUGGUGGGGGUUGGAAAGUUUCGGCGGUUGGGGAUGGACUCGCGGCUUAUCAGCUUGUUGGUGGGGUAGUGGCUUACCAAGGCUUUGACGGGUAGCCGGCCUGAGAGGGUGACCGGCCACAUUGGGACUGAGAUACGGCCCAGACUCUUACGGGAGGCAGCAGUGAGGAAUAUUGCACAAUGGGCGGAAGCCUGAUGCAGCAACGCCGCGUGCGGGAUGACGGCCUUCGGGUUGUAAACCGCUUUCGCCUGUGACGAAGCGUGAGUGACGGUAAUGGGUAAAGAAGCACCGGCUAACUACGUG